rnacentral:rRNA from 1 species
AUGAACGCUGGCGGCGUGCCUAAUACAUGCCAGUCGAGCGAACAGACGAGGAGCUUGCUCCUCUGACGUUAGCGGCGGACGGGUGAGUAACACGUGGAUAACCUACCUAUAAGACUGGGAUAACUUCGGGAAACCGGAGCUAAUACCGGAUAAUAUAUUGAACCGCAUGGUUCAAUAGUGAAAGACGGUUUUGCUGUCACUUAUAGAUGGAUCCGCGCCGCAUUAGCUAGUUGGUAAGGUAACGGCUUACCAAGGCGACGAUGCGUAGCCGACCUGAGAGGGUGAUCGGCCACACUGGAACUGAGACACGGUCCAGACUCCUACGGGAGGCAGCAGUAGGGAAUCUUCCGCAAUGGGCGAAAGCCUGACGGAGCAACGCCGCGUGAGUGAUGAAGGUCUUCGGAUCGUAAAACUCUGUUAUUAGGGAAGAACAAAUGUGUAAGUAACUAUGCACGUCUUGACGGUACCUAGUCAGAAAGCCACGGCUAACUACGUG